AGUAAAAGUCGUAACAAGUU
rnacentral:rRNA from 1 species